rnacentral:rRNA from 3 species
GACUCUCGGCAACGGAUAUCUCGGCUCUCGCAUCGAUGAAGAACGUAGCGAAAUGCGAUACUUGGUGUGAAUUGCAGAAUCCCGUGAACCAUUUAGUCUUUGAACGCAAGUUGCGCCCUAGGCCCUACGGUCGAGGGCACGCCUGCCUGGGCGUCA